rnacentral:lncRNA from 1 species
AUGAUGACCAGAUGAAAAAAAGAGAACCUUUCUCUGACAGCUACAUUGAUAAGAAAGCAAUUGAUAGUUAGAGGAUAGGAAACGCCAUCAAACAGGUAAACCAUUUACAUAAGCCACUGAUAGUGCAGAUCCAGUCAUCGAAUCUCCAUAUUAUAUCACUGGCUAGUUCUGAAGUGGUGGCCUAUGCAGCCCUUCAUCACAUCCUGAUCUGAUUGAACCACGU